GAAAUGCGAUAAGUAAUGUGAAUUGCAGAAUUCCGUGAAUCAUCGAAUCUUUGAACGCACAUUGCGCUCCUUGGUAUUCCUUGGAGCAUGCCUGUUUGAGUAUCAUGAAAUCUUCAAAGUAAAUCUUUUGUUAACUCAAUUGGUUUCUACUUUGGUAUUGGAGGUCUUUGCAGCUUCACACCUGCUCCUCUUUGUUCAUUAGCUGGAUCUCAGUGUUAUGCUUGGUUCCACUCGGCGUGAUAAGUUAUCUAUCGCUGAGGACACUGUAAAGGGUGGCCAAGGUAAAUGCAGAUGAACCGCUUCUAAUAGUCCAUUGACUUGGACAAUACUUUUAUGAUCUGAUCUCAAAUCAGGUAGGACUACCCGCUGAACUUAAGC
rnacentral:misc_RNA from 1 species